CAACCCUCGAGCCCCUCCGGGGGAUCGGUGUUGGGGACCGGCACCCCCGCUGUUCCGCAGCGGUCGCCGCCCCCGAAAUACAGUGGCGGCCUCGCCGCAGCCUCCUAUGCGCAGUAGCUUGCAAAACUCGCAUACUGGAGCGCGGUGCGGCCACAGCCGUUAAACCCCCCAAUUACUUCAAAU
rnacentral:misc_RNA from 1 species